UACGAAGGGGACUAGCGUUGUUCGGAUUUACUGGGCGUAAAGCGCGCGUAGGCGGAUCGCUAAGUCAGGGGUGAAAUCCCAGGGCUCAACCCUGGAACUGCCUUUGAUACUGACGAUCUGGAGAUCGGGAGAGGUUGGUGGAAUUCCGAGUGUAGAGGUGAAAUUCGUAGAUAUUCGGAGGAACACCAGGAGCGAAGGCGGCCAACUGGCCCGAUACUGACGCUGAGGCGCGAAAGCGUGGGGAGCAAACAGG
rnacentral:rRNA from 1 species